rnacentral:rRNA from 1 species
GUCCACGCCGUAAACGAUGAGUGCUAGGUGCUGCGGGUAUUGACCCCUGCGGUGCCGUAGCUAACGCGUUAAGCACUCCGCCUGGGGAGUACGGCCGCAAGGCUAAAACUCAAAGGAAUUGACGGGGGCCCCGCACAAGCGGUGGAGCAUGUGGUUCAAUUCGACGCAACGCGCAGAACCUUACCUGGGUUAAAUCCACUCAAAGCCCGCAGAGAUGUGGGGGUGCCCUUCGGGGAAUGAGUGAGAAGGUGCUGCAUGGCUGUCGU